UACGUAGGGGGCAAGCGUUGUCCGGAAUCAUUGGGCGUAAAGCGCGCGUAGGCGGCCCGGUAAGUCCGUUGUGAAAGUCAAAGGCUCAACCUUUGAACGCCGAUGGAUACUGCCGGGCUAGAGUCCGGAAGAGGCGAGUGGAAUUCCUGGUGUAGCGGUGAAAUGCGCAGAUAUCAGGAGGAACACCUAUUGCGAAGGCAGCUCGCUGGGACGUUACUGACGCUGAGACGCGAAAGCGUGGGGAGCAAACAGG
rnacentral:rRNA from 1 species